UAAUGCUCCACAUCAGGGAGAGGUGAGGUGAAGGCGGAGGAAGUGGAGGAAAGCAGGGAGGAGUGAGAGGCAGCCAAGAUGUGUUGCUUUGUGCUUUGAAAUGUAUUUCCUUUAGCAUUUUGGAGAAAUACAAGACUGGGAUUAGUUUUUAAUAACUUCUAGUUAAUUGUGUUUUUCUUUGUAUAAUGUGAGGCUUUGUCUUAAGUCUGUAGCACUAUAACAGAAUACCACAGAUAUUGCAUUUUAUUUAGAGACAGGGUCUUACUGAGUUGCUUAGCACCUUGCUUUUGCUGAGGCUGGCUUUGAACUCGGGAUCUUCCUGCCUCAGCCUCCCAAGCCACUGGGAUUACAGGUCAGAUUUCUCAUGAAAAAAAAAAUAUAUUUGGCUGAUGGUCCUGGAGUCUGGGGAACUCAAGAUGGAGAAGCCACUUCUUGCUGUGUCAUCCCAUGGCAAAAGGCAGAAAGGUAAAGACAUAAAGAAAGCAAAAGAGAAGACAGGGAGGGGAGGGGAGAACAAGGUUGCUCUGGCCCUUUUAUAAGGAAACCCCUCCCUCAGUAAAAGCAUUAAUCCAUUCCUGAGGGUAAGUCAUCACAUGACCCACUUUCCAACAGGCCUUAUCUCUACAUUGAUAAUCAAAUUUCUAACACACGAACUUUGGGGGACACAUUCAAAGCAUAUUGGCAUGGGACGCGUGGUUCCCUGAAAUGUUUUAUUAUGAUAUGGUCACCUCCUAACUGGAUGCCUAACUUCUAACCUUGUCCUUGUCUGCAUUCUACCAAAGGAUCUCUCAUAAACCCAAGAAUGUGGGGAUGUGACUCAAGUGGUAGCAUGCUUACCUAGCAUGCGUGAGGCCCUGGGUUCGAUCCUCAGCACCACAUAAAAACAAAAUAAAGAUAUUGUGUCCACCU
rnacentral:lncRNA from 1 species